AGGCUACCAGCCCCACUGCUCUACUGCAUUCUGGAAACUUCUGAGUUAUUUUUAUUGAAAGAGCGUGCUCAUCUAAACGUGGAGCUUCUGCCCAGCAUCUGAACAAUUCUCUGCGUGUCACGCUAACCUAAGAAUGGAUAAAUUGGAUCCCAUCAUAUUAACAAACACUGAUCUGUUCUGACACCACUGAGGAGAAAGUUUGAGUGCAGGGACUGGUAUAAACGGCCCUGGGCAUACGAGAAGCUGAUCUUUUCAGAGAAAAGCUGCCUGAGAAAAAGCUCAUCUCCCCUAAAGCUGCCCAUGCAUGCGGAAGAGGGGCAUCAUAAGCUCAAAUCCCAAGGAAAAUGGCCCAGGUUAAGUGGAUCAUUCCCAUUCAAUACCCAAACGAUCGUGUGUCCUCAGUCAUCAUUUUAAAAUACACCAAAUACAAUUCCUUCUGCCUGCAUAAUCUCAGCUGUGUGACCAUCCACUGGAGAGUGCUCCACCUAAGAAGAGCCACACCUCUAAAGAAAAGUGACUCUCCUUUCUGAGCAGCUAUCAACCACUCACUGCUCCACAGCUAAAGGAACAAUCCUGAGAGAACAUUCGUGGUCAUAACAGUAAGAAUGUUUAUGGGGAAAGAGGACACUGUGACCGUUGGUUCCAGGAGCUGAAGAUUGCCACCUGACCUUCAGAGAGCCCCCGGGCUCUUCCCCCCAUCCUCGGAGCCUUCUCUUGCUUAUGCUUAUAUUGCCACUCCUGAAUAAAGUUUUCAGAGCUUGA
rnacentral:lncRNA from 1 species